CAAAUGAAUUGACGGGACCCGCACAAGCGGUGGAUGAUGUGGUUUAAUUCGAUGCAACGACGAAAACCUUACCCACCUUUGACAUGGCAGGAAUCCCGAAGAGAUUUGGGAGUGCUCGAAAGAGAACCUGCACACAGGUGCUGUAUGGCUGUCGUCAGCUCGUGUCGUGAGAUGUUGGGUUAAGUCCCGCAACGAGCGCAACCCUUGCCAUUAGUUGCUACGAAAGGGCACUCUAAUGGGACUGCCGGUGACAAACCGGAGGAAGGUGGGGAUGACGUCAAGUCCUCAUGGCCCUUAUAGGUGGGGCUACACACGUCAUACAAUGGCCGGUACAGAGGGUAGCCAACCCGCGAGGGGGAGCCAAUCCCACAAAGCCGGUCGUAGUCCGGAUCGCAGUCUGCAACUCGACUGCGUGAAGUCGGAAUCGCUAGUAAUCGUGGAUCAGCAUGUCACGGUGAAUACGUUCCCGGGUCUU
rnacentral:rRNA from 1 species